rnacentral:misc_RNA from 1 species
GAUGAAGAACGCAGCGAAAUGCGAUAAGUAGUGUGAAUUGCAGAAUUCAGUGAAUCAUCGAAUCUUUGAACGCACAUUGCGCCCUUUGGUAUUCCAAAGGGCAUGCCUGUUCGAGCGUCAUUUGUACCCUCAAGCUUUGCUUGGUGUUGGGCGUCUUGUCUCUAGCUUUGCUGGAGACUCGCCUUAAAGUAAUUGGCAGCCGGCCUACUGGUUUCGGAGCGCAGCACAAGUCGCACUCUCUAUCAGCAAAGGUCUAGCAUCCAUUAAGCCUUUUUUUUCAACUUUUGACCUCGGAUCAGGUAGGGAUGCCCGCUGAACUUAAGCAUAUCAAUAAGCGGAGGA